GCCAGGCACGGUGGUGCAUGCCUGUAAUCCCAGCGGCUCAGGAGGCUGAGGCCGGAGAACCAUGAGUUCAAAGCCAGCCCCAAUGGCAAGGCGCUAAGCAACUCAGUGAGACCCUGUCUCUA
rnacentral:sRNA from 1 species